GGUAGUGGCUCAGUGGUAGAGCACUUGCCUCACAUGUAUGAGGCACUGGGUUCGAUUCUCAGCACCA
rnacentral:tRNA from 1 species